UCAUCUCAUUGCUUCCCUCCCACGCCACAUCACCAAUCUCAAUUAUUUAUUUAUCAAAUCACCGAUUAGUUUAUUACUAAUUUUCGUUUUGGUAAAGACCAAACCAAAGGCACCAAAGCAACGCCCCACUCUCUCUCUCUCGCUCCUCGCAUUUCAAUAAUUCAUUCCACCACCAGAAGAAGAAGACCGGAGCCGCGAAAGGCCGCGUUUGGAUCGAGCUUCAGCGACUUUUGGAUUCUAAUGCGCUUAAGUUGAUGAUCUCGACGAGGAGGAGGAGGAGGAGGUCUGUAUCGUAAUCAUCAGAAUGCCGCAAGCUUCUUUCACGCCUCGAAGCUCUGCCUAUCUCGAUGCUCUCACCCAAGAAAUCGAGAAGAAACUCCAGCGGGCCCUAGCUUCUCCCUCACUGCGCCGCAACUUGUUGCAGGAGUUGUUUACUGACAUUGCCUUAGAGAUUGAUGAGCGGGCCAAAGGUCAGCUAACACUUAAUAUUGCUUUUGAUGGAUUGGGAAGACUAAAUUGAUACUCUGGGAGAAACUGUGUGUCGACUUUACACCAAAGUUUGUUUGAUUUGAACUUUUCUGCAUCUCGAUUUGACAUUGUUUCGAGUAUGAUUGGACUUGUUAAAAGUUUGGAGUAUCUUAAGAGAAAUUUAGGUGCUCAGGGUUUCCAACUAA